UACAGAGCCGCAGACUCCGCAACCCGAGCCUCGGGUUUGCAUUUUCGCAGGGCUUGUACCGGUACAAGGGCCCGUGUACCGGUACAAGGUGGCUGAUUGUGUGCAGUUUGAUACUGCAGGGGGUUUUUCGCGAUUGUAGCCUAUCUAUAUCAGCCCCCACGCCUUUAGGGACUCUCCCUGAGCUGAGACCAGCAGGAGUUGAGCUUGGAGAGGAGCUAGUGGCCGCGGAGAUCUUCAACGUCACUUGGAUUGGAGCUAAGUUUGGAACUUCUUGAGAGGGCUUUUGAGGCUCAAUCUCUUGGAUUAGAGCCUUCCUCUAGGGUAGAUUGGAGGGGUUCUAACUCUCAUUUGGAGCUUGAGAGGAGAUCUUUGCAUUUGAGGUGAGUUUUCCUCACCUAUGCUUGCAUAGCUUAUAGAUUGAGCUUAGCAUCAUUCGUUUCAUUUAGGUGACACUUGUUUUCAUACCUCUAGGAUACUAGGAGGUUAGAGGACACCUUCGUCGGAGCAAACGAAGGGCUUCG